rnacentral:rRNA from 1 species
ACGAACGCUGGCGGCGUGCUUAACACAUGCAAGUCGAACGAAGAUACGGAGCGGAACCCUUCGGGGGGAAGAUCUGUAGACUGAGUGGCGGACGGGUGAGUAACGCGUGAGCAACCUGCCUACAAGAGGGGGACAACAGCUGGAAACGGCUGCUAAUACCGCAUAAGACCACGCUAUCGCAUGGUAGAGGGGUCAAAGAUUUAUCGCUUGUAGAUGGGCUCGCGUCCCAUUAGCUAGUUGGUGAGAUAACAGCCCACCAAGGCGACGAUGGGUAGCCGACCUGAGAGGGUGAUCGGCCACACUGGAACUGAGACACGGUCCAGACUCCUACGGGAGGCAGCAGUGGGGAAUAUUGGGCAAUGGGGGAAACCCUGACCCAGCAACGCCGCGUGAGGGAAGAAGGCCUUCGGGUUGUAAACCUCUGUCCUUGGGGACGAAGGAAGUGACGGUACCCAAGGAGGAAGCUCCGGCUAACUAUGUGCCAGCAGCCGCGGUAAUACGUAGGGAGCGAGCGUUGUCCGGAAUUACUGGGCGUAAAGGGUGCGUAGGCGGCCUGUUAAGUCAGAUGUGAAAUACCCGGGCUUAACCCGGGGGGUGCAUCUGAUACUGGCAGGCUUGAGUGCAGGAGAGGAAAGCGGAAUUCCUAGUGUAGCGGUGAAAUGCGUAGAUAUUAGGAGGAACACCAGUGGCGAAGGCGGCUUUCUGGACUGUAACUGACGCUGAGGCACGAAAGCGUGGGGAGCAAACAGGAUUAGAUACCCUGGUAGUCCACGCCGUAAACGAUGGAUACUAGGUGUAGGGGUCAAAAAGACUUCUGUGCCGCAGCAAACGCAUUAAGUAUCCCGCCUGGGGGAGUACGGCCGCAAGGCUGAAACUCAAAGGAAUUGACGGGGGCCCGCACAAGCAGCGGAGCAUGUGGUUUAAUUCGAAGCAACGCGAAGAACCUUACCAAGGCUUGACAUCCUCUGACGCACAUAGAGAUAUGUGUUCUCUACGGAGCAGAGAGACAGGUGGUGCAUGGUUGUCGUCAGCUCGUGUCGUGAGAUGUUGGGUUAAGUCCCGCAACGAGCGCAACCCUUGUCACUAGUUGCCAGCAUUACGGAUGGGAACUCUAGUGAGACUGCCGGGGACAACUCGGAGGAAGGUGGGGACGACGUCAAAUCAUCAUGCCCCUUAUGUCUUGGGCUACACACGUGCUACAAUGGCCGGUACAAAGGGCAGCGAAGGCGCAAGCCGGAGCGAAUCUCAAAAAGCCGGUCCCAGUUCGGAUUGUGGGCUGCAACCCGCCCACAUGAAGUCGGAGUUGCUAGUAAUCGCGAAUCAGCAUGUCGCGGUGAAUGCGUUCCCGGGCCUUGUACACACCGCCCGUCACACCACGGAAGUUGGGGGCGCCCGAAGCCGGUGGCCUAACCGCAAGGGGGGAGCCGUCGAAGGUGAAACCAAUGACUGGGGUGAAGUCGUAACAAGGUA